ACAGGUAUUUGGUUUUGUGAGUCCUGAAAUAUCUGAAGGAGUUCUUUAGUUGAAAACGAUAUAAAAACAAUAACAAGAUUAACUGAAAAUGACUAAACAUGCUUUAAAUAUGAAAAUAUUUAUUGUUUAUGGAAUCAUAGAUUAUCAUUGUCUCCCCAUGGCAGAGACUAAGAAGAAUAAGUCUUACACAGACUCAGUCUCUGAGAACUUGACAAUCUAAGUUUGCAUAUCUCUGCUGAUAUGUUUUCAGGUUACUCAGUAGAAAACCAAGUUAUUUACACAUCCCUUGGACACAGGGCGGGGAACAUCACACACUGGGGCCUGUUGUGGAGUUGGGGGCUUGGGAAAAAAAAAAAAAAAAAAAAAAAAACUAAAAACAAUUGUGGUACACAGGCAGUACUCUGGUGCACACUAAGAUGUGGUUGUCUGAUUAACAGCUAAAUGCAUUGCUUUCCUUAAA
rnacentral:lncRNA from 1 species